CCAGGCAGCCCAACCUGAAGCUUCUCUCAGAAUCCUCUCAAUGCUAAACCAAGACAGGAGCAGGAACCCUCCAGAGAAACUGUUAGAGAUACUCUCUCUCAGUUUACUCAAAUACCCAAAUGUCUUAAUCAGUGCAAUUUGCUUCCAUUAGGCAAAUGCUUUAAUUCUAUAACCUUGAAAUAUGUAUUUCAAAUUACUGGAGCAGUUGUCUGAAUGCCUGGAAGGAAGGUCAGUAAUAAGAAGUCCUGCACACCAUCCACUGCAUCUGCACCAAGCAGCUGCCUAUAACGUCUCCCAAGAAUUAAAGCUAUGGAGCACUGAAAGGGCAAUGGAGAGACAGGCUGCCACCUGGACCAGAAAACAAUCCUCCAAAAUGAAAACUCCCAGGAACAUCAU